UACGGAGGGUGCGAGCGUUGUCCGGAAUCACUGGGCGUAAAGGGCGCGUAGGCGGCCUGAUAAGUAGGGGGUGAAAUCCUGCGGCUUAACCGCAGGGCUGCCUUCUAAACUGUCAGGCUUGAGCACAGUAGAGGCAGGUGGAAUUCCCGGUGUAGCGGUGGAAUGCGUAGAGAUCGGGAAGAACAUCAGUGGCGAAGGCGGCCUGCUGGGCUGUUGCUGACGCUGAGGCGCGACAGCGUGGGGGGCAAACAGG
rnacentral:rRNA from 1 species